rnacentral:rRNA from 1 species
AUUGAACGCUGGCGGCAUGCCUUACACAUGCAAGUCGAACGGCAGCACGGGUGCUUGCACCUGGUGGCGAGUGGCGAACGGGUGAGUAAUACAUCGGAACGUACCUUAUCGUGGGGGAUAACGCAGCGAAAGCUGUGCUAAUACCGCAUACGCCCUGAGGGGGAAAGCGGGGGAUCGAAAGACCUCGCGCGAUUAGAGCGGCCGAUGCCUGAUUAGCUUGUUGGUGGGGUAAAAGCCCAACAAGGCGACGAUCAGUAGCUGGUCUGAUAGGACGAUCAGCCACACUGGGACUGAGACACGGCCCAGACUCCUACGGGGGGCAGCAGUGGGGAAUUUUGGACAAUGGGGGCAACCCUGAUCCAGCAAUGCCGCGUGAGUGAAGAAGGCCUUCGGGUUGUAAAGCUCUUUUGUCAGGGAAGAAACACCGGCUCUAACACAGUCCGGGAAUGACGGUACCUGAAGAAUAAGCACCGGCUAACUACGUGCCAGCCGCCGCAGUAA